rnacentral:lncRNA from 1 species
ACCUUUGUUAGGAAAUCUUUUAGAAUAACCAUUGUAUCAGACUUAGAGACGAGUAAGAAAUCCAGGUAAACUUAGAACAGUCAUCUACAAUAUUAACAAAAAACCUUUUAAUGUCAUAUGUUGGUUCCCUAUAGGGCCCCCAUGCAUCACAAUGUAAUAGUUCAAAAACAACAUUAGAAGUAGUAGUACUCAUUUUGUAAGGUAACUUUGUUUCCU